rnacentral:rRNA from 1 species
UACGUAGGUCCCGAGCGUUGUCCGGAUUUAUUGGGCGUAAAGCGAGCGCAGGCGGUCUUUUAAGUCUGAUGUGAAAGCCUUCGGCUUAACCGGAGUAGUGCAUUGGAAACUGGGAGACUUGAGUGCAGGAGAGGAGAGUGGAAUUCCAUGUGUAGCGGUGAAAUGCGUAGAUAUAUGGAGGAACACCGGUGGCGAAAGUGGCUCUCUGGCCUGUAACUGACACUGAGGCUCGAAAGCGUGGGGAGCAAACAGG